UACGUAGGGGGCUAGCGUUGUCCGGAAUCAUUGGGCGUAAAGAGCGUGUAGGCGGUCCGGUAAGUCCGCUGUGAAAGUCGGGGGCUCAACCCUCGAAUGCCGGUGGAUACUGUCGGGCUAGAGUGCGGAAGAGGCGAGUGGAAUUCCUGGUGUAGCGGUGAAAUGCGCAGAUAUCAGGAGGAACACCAGCGGCGAAGGCGGCGCUCUGGGCUGGAACUGACGCUGAGGAGCGAAAGCGUGGGGAGCGAACAGG
rnacentral:rRNA from 1 species